CAUAAUCAUUAGUCUUUUAAUUGAAGGCUGGUAUGAAUGGUUGGAUGAGAUAUUAACUGUUUCAUUUAAAAUUUUUAUAGAAUUUUAUUUUUUAGUUAAAAAGCUAAAAUUAUAUUAAAAGACGAGAAGACCCUAUAAAUCUUUAUAUUUUAUUUUUAUUAAUUAUUUAGAUAUUUUUAAUUAUUAUUAAUUAAAAUAUUUUAUUGGGGUGAUAUUAAAAUUUAAUAAACUUUUAAUUUUUAAGUACAUAAAUUUAUGAAUAUAUGAUCCAUUAUUGAUGAUUAAAAAUUUAAGUUACUUUAGGGAUAACAGCGUAAUUUUUUUGGAGAGUUCAUAUCG
rnacentral:rRNA from 1 species